rnacentral:tRNA from 1 species
AAUAAGAAAGUGGCAGAGCGGUUAUGCGGCUGGCUUGAAACCAGCAAAUGGGGGUUCGAUUCCUUCCUUUCUCG